CACAACAUGGCCAGGGGAUGUUUACAUCCCCACCCAGACAGCUGUGCUCAUUGAAAUAGAAGGAAUGAUGAUGAUGAUGUUUAUUUCCGGAAUGGUAAAACACUGAAACCCUUGGUCUCUAAAAAUAGGUCACUGUUUUACUUAGAGGUGAACUGGCAUUGUUUACCUAAAUGCCGAAGUGUCUGACAAUGGUUCUCCAAAGUUAGUUGAAGUUGAAAAAGGUCUCAUGUUACUUCGAAAUUGUCAGAAAUGGUAAGUCUUUGAAAUUCUGCAGAUUUUUAUUCCUGGCAUAAUCAGAAAAUUUGGAAUCACAAUUACAAGACUGUUUGCAUGUAUUUACUCUAAAUUGGCCAAGUUUGGGAAAUCAUGAAUGUAGCUGGUUCUUAUCUCAAGAGUUCUCUAAAUCAGAACUGCUUUGUUGAUGCCUGAAUGCUGACCCUGAAAAGUUUCUAAGGCCACCUCAACCCUAGACUUGACUGGCCCAUUUAGGAAUAAAAUAAAGUGUGCAGAAGAGUCCACUUUACCAGUGACAGUCCUUUUCUUGUGAUUCUAGGGAAGCCAGAUAACUCCGUGGGAUUGCCUUUAAAAACAUUACAGAAAUCUCCAUUCUGCAAAUCUAAAGAUAAAACUUCAUUUUCUGGACAAGCUGAGCUCUCAUGCAAGAGUGCAAGGUUCAGUCUCAGAAGGGCAGACUUAUAGUAACCGAACUCAUUUGUAAACUGAGCAACCAAGCCCAUUUUUAAGAUCCAGAACCACUGAAGAAACUCAAGCAGUGCUCUUGGCUCUUGGCUCUUAGCUGGUGCACUCUCCCUCUGGGGGCCUACAGGAGGUCCCAAUUAUCAUUAGUGGUUGCUUGGUAAGUUAAAAAAUCUGCAUGUUUUAUGCCCUUGAACUAUAAUCAGCUGGAUGCACCUAUCGCCUCAUAGGUCUACAUUCUGUUGGAACCACAGCAGCCAAGUGCUCAGUGCAGUCGCCCUUUCUCCUUGAUGUGCUGGAUGGUCAUUACCAUAGUCUUGUGGCUGGUUGACCAGCUGUGCUACGUCCCCACUCAACACUGCAAAUGAUUGAUAUAUUCAUGGAACUAUUCUGACUCUUAAGGUGACUUGGCCUAUUUUUCCAGGCACUGAUUUUACAUUUUGUCUUUCCAAGCUCAAUCUUGAUUCUUUUAUUUUAAGAUGAGGGUGGCUUCCAGACGCUUCUGAGUACUGACAACAGUGUGCUCUGCUGCCAAGGCAUCCUGCCUCCCUAUGGAGAACAUGGAGUAGUCAUUUAAUACCUGCCACCCAAGGGACUGGAUGGAAGAAGGGCAGGCUUCAG
rnacentral:lncRNA from 1 species